CUGCAGUUCACACCGUGACCAGGGAAGACUUAUCUAAUGGGCAAAGUGCGCAUUUGCCAAGUACCCACUGUUUAAAGGAGCCAACUUCUGCCAUAAAGUGGCUAAAUUGUUGCCUCAGAAGGUUCCCCUUAACGUUUUCCGGAAUACCUUGUGCACUCCUGAAAGGGAUGUCCUUGUGUCAGAGACUGGGAGAUAAAUUUUACGUUUGAAGAGGACCCAGGGUGUUGGUGGGGGAAUACACAUCCAGUGUGACCCCCACUCAUACCGGACAAGGCUGGACAAGGCUAAUAAUACGAACACUAGUGAAAGGGUUAAGAAGUUACAUGAAAUCUACAAGGAGCCAUAGUUUCACCAGAACAACUCAAUAAUUAGUGUCCCUGAGCACUGUAACAUACUAACUCUGCAGAAUAGUUUCCUUCAAUAAACAGUCUAAAAUAUUAAGUACAGUUCCUGUGAAAUCAGGAGAGCAAUAACCAGAAAAAAAAUGGAGGUACCCUUUAAGAACAUCCAUACAGAUGCAC